UACAGAGGUCUCGAGCGUUGUUCGGAUUCAUUGGGCGUAAAGGGCGCGUAGGCGGCGGGGUAAGUCUGGUGUGAAAUCUAGGAGCUCAACUCCUAAACUGCACUGGAUACUGCUCUGCUAGAGGACUGGAGAGGAGACUGGAAUUCACGGUGUAGCAGUGAAAUGCGUAGAUAUCGUGAGGAAGACCAGUGGCGAAGGCGGGUCUCUGGGCCGAUACUGACGCUGAGGAGCGAAAGCGUGGGGAGCGAACAGG
rnacentral:rRNA from 1 species